rnacentral:rRNA from 1 species
UUGACCUCAAAUCAGGUAGGACUACCCGCUGAACUUAAGCAUAUCAAUAAGCGGAGGAAAAGAAACUAACAAGGAUUCCCCUAGUAACUGCGAGUGAAGCGGGAAGAGCUCAAAUUUGAAAUCUGGCGGUUCUUGACCGUCCGAGUUGUAAUCUAGAGAAGUGCUACCUGUGCUGGACCGUGUACAAGUCUCCUGGAAUGGAGCAUCACAGAGGGUGAGAAUCCCGUCUUUGACAUGGACUGCCUGUACGUCAUGGUGCGCUCUCGAAGAGUCGAGUUGUUUGGGAAUGCAGCUCAAAAUGGGUGGUAAAUGCCAUCUAAAGCUAAAUAUUGGCGAGAGACCGAUAGCGAACAAGUACCGUGAGGGAAAGAUGAAAAGAACUUUGGAAAGAGAGUUAAACAGUACGUGAAAUUGCUGAAAGGGAAACGCUUGAAGUCAGUCGCGUCGGCUAGAAAUCAGCCUUGCUUUUGCUUGGUGUACUUUCUUGUUGACGGGUCAGCAUCAAUUUCGACCGUCGGACAAAGUCGUCGGGAAUGUGGCAUCUUCGGAUGUGUUAUAGCCUGGCGUCGCAUACGGUGGUUGGGAUUGAGGAACUCAGCACGCCGCAAGGCCGGGUCUCUUUUGACCACGUCCGUGCUUAGGAUGCUGGCAUAAUGGCUUUAAUCGACCCGUC